AUGCACUUCGGCAGUUUCCCUAAGACGCCGCAGGGGGUGGCAAGAUGCGACAUCUGAGUUUAUUUUUAUGAAUGCCAAUGCUUGGGACCCACGACACGGCCAAACAAUGAGCUCACCGGCGUAUCGGCAUCGUGGGAGAGGAGCCCAGUUCGAACGUGCAGUAAUACCCCAGGUACAUUCAUAUAACCCAUUUACCAGGAAAACACGCAAACGAUCAGCAAGCGUUACACUGCAACAGUGGCAAGGAACGAGGUGGUAGUGAGCGCCACAAAGUCAUGCCAGCAAU